GAUGAACGCUGGCGGCGUGCUUAACACAUGCAAGUCGAACGGGAAAUACUUUAUUGAAACUUCGGUGGAUUUAAUUUAUUUCUAGUGGCGGACGGGUGAGUAACGCGUGGGUAACCUGCCUUAUACCGGGGGAUAACAGCCAGAAAUGGCUGCUAAUACCGCAUAAGCGCACAGAACCGCAUGGUUUGGUGUGAAAAACUCCGGUGGUAUAAGAUGGACCCGCGUUGGAUUAGCUAGUUGGCAGGGCAGCGGCCUACCAAGGCGACGAUCCAUAGCCGGCCUGAGAGGGUGAACGGCCACAUUGGGACUGAGACACGGCCCAGACUCCUACGGGAGGCAGCAGUGGGGAAUAUUGCACAAUGGGGGAAACCCUGAUGCAGCGACGCCGCGUGAAGGAAGAAGUAUCUCGGUAUGUAAACUUCUAUCAGCAGGGAA
rnacentral:rRNA from 1 species